UGAUUUCAGAUCAAAGAGAUGACAUCACAGAGAUGAAAGGCUUCCUAUUGGUCCUUAGUAACCAGGCAACCUUACUCUGUAUGUCUGUCUGUUGAAAUCUAUCUGUCUCCCUCUCUCUCAGACACACACACAGACAGACACACACACACGUCCUAACGUCUUAAAUAGGUUUUAAAAAGUUAUAUCUCUGAAGGCUUUAGACACUUAUUAUUUUUUAAUAAGUCUUAUUGCUAUUUGCAUGUGCACCAAGUAAGAGGCACACUGAUAAAAUUUCUGCGGAAUUUUAUAGUUGUUAUUAUUAGUGGGAAUGCGGUUCAGCAUUCCCCA